rnacentral:ncRNA from 2 species
GCGGCAGAGUCGGGGUGCGGCGCAGCCGCUGAGAUGAUACCCGUGAACCUGAUACGGUCAGUACCGGCGUAGGAAACUCAACUGCCGCGCAG